UACCUGUCGAUACAAUAUAGAAAAAUCUCAAUUAUAUCAUCACUUUCGAUUUCUUGCCCAUUAUUUUAAUUUGUAAUCAGUGUGUUUUUUAAAAUCAGUGGUUUCUUCUCGUUCUUUCAGGAUUUACAUUCGUUUCAACGAAUUUGUAAAUUUCAAAUUUGUAUCGGUGAAUCGUUGAAUAAAUUACAAUUACAAAAGUUUUAUAAAAAUAUAUACCGUGUACAUCGAUCAAGUUCAUUGAGUUUAAGAACUGCACCGAUACAAGUGUGAAAAUUAAAUGUUUGAAGACUGAGAAUUUAAAUAAACUAAUCUGGUUAAUUAUUUUAGUAGAAUAAUCAGCGGCGAGAGAAGGUUAUUUCGAGAAGAAGCUAGAAAAGAGUGUUAAUUUCUAAGGAAUAUUGAUUCAACAACAAUUGUUUGCCGAUACAUCAGACGGUGUCAAGUUUCAUGCAGAAUUCACGAGUUCGUGAAAAGGAAGAAGAAGAGAAACGAAACAACAGAAUAGAUAAUACUUUUCUUUUAUAUUCCACAAUAAUCAAACAUUUUCAUAUAUGAUAUGAUAAAAAUUUCUUUCCAUAUACCGUAUAUACUCUGCCGUUAAUUUAAAAUAACAACGAAAUAAUUACGAACGAUUAUGAUACAAAAGAUUAUACAGAGAAAAAUAUUCUUGACUCUUCUUUGUUUAUUUCAACUAGGAGAGAAGAAAAAAAAAAAAAGAAAAAAAAAAAAGAAAAAGAUGUCUUUAUAUUAUUUUGUUCGGAGAAAAUCUUUUUUUAAUAACCCGCAGAUAACCUCUAAACUCUCGGUUAUUUUAACAACAGUAUUCGUAAAAUCUCAUUGGUACAUUUCUGGCGCGCUUCAUCAAAUAAUACGCUUAUAUCGACCCCUUCAUGCCAGACGUGUGCUUAACGUUAUGACAAUAAAUAGUUUCUAGUUUCUUUUCUCAUUUUAUUUUUAAUAUCGGAUCAAUAAUGCAAUAAGGAAACUUCGUUGCACAACGAAGUUAAAUACGGUGUUAAAAGACGAUUUAAUAUUUUAAAAUAUAGAUUUUCAUAUAUAUAUAUAUAUAUAUGUAUGUGUGUGUCAUAAUGUCAUUCGUUUAAGUCUUUAACACAGAGAUGGUAGCCGAUAUAGAAGUAGCUUAAAACUUACAAAAAAAACUUUUAUCGAGAAUUAUAUCGAGAAUACAUAUUCAUAUCAAUCUUAACGCGAUUAACUUUGGUUUCCAAGCCGAGAUAAAAAUUACGAUAAUAAUAUGUAAUUUUAAUUCAAAUAAGUCGUUUUUCUUAAAAAAAAAAAAAAAUAGUAUUUAAUAAAUUCACAACACAUGUAUAUUUAAUCAACAAUUAAAUAAAUAAGAUCGAGGUAAAAAUUUAAUGCAGCAAAAAAAAAGAAGAUUAAAAUUAAAAUUACAUAUUAAAGUCUCGAUCGAUAUCGAAACGUUUUUCUCGAUUUGAAUAUACAAACAAGUCUCGUCGUGUAUAAUUUCUCCCUUCUCUCUAAUUGCUUCUCAUUUAUUAACUACGAUCAUAUAAAUCGUACACAUAAUAAAACGUUUGAAUAGGGGGACGUAACAAUGUUGUGUUGCGAUGUAUCAGACAAUGUAUCGCGAAUCGUCCAUUUUCCUUGCGUGGACUGCACGUGUGUCUGUAUGUGUAUAUACAUAUACGUUGUACGUACAUUGGUAGUUAAUGUGCUCGUACAUUAAUAUAUAUAAUAUAUAUAUGGAAGAGAACGAAGAGCCGUUUCCAUUCGAAUUUAACGUAUUUUCGAGAACGUAUUAUCGCAUUGUAUAUAUAAGGUAAUAACGCAAGGAUCGUGGAACAAAAUUUUCGAUCGUAUAUACACGAUCAACGCAUCUAAUUUUAAUUGGCUCUAAUCUUAAACGUGACGUGGGUCUCCCCAGGAAAUAGAAUUUCUUUCUUGGCAUCAUUUAUCGUUUAAUAAAAUCCCAGGAAUUAGAAAAUACUGCAGGCAAGCGAUUUCAUCUAAUGAUCGAAAGAUUUCAACGUUCUUGGAACAAUAUUUCCUUAGCGAGAAGCAAUCUCUUAUGAUUCUUAUCUCGUUACAAACGUAGAGAAUAAUUGAAAUCUCUCGAUCGUUUAAUAACUCGUAAUAAUUCCUUCUACAAAAAAAAAAAAAAAAAAAAAAAUACAAUAGAAACGAGAAGUAACGUGUCAUGGAAUCUUUGAUGGAAAAUAUAUAUCUUGAACAAAUAAGAUUUUUCGUUGUUGAAUUGUAAUGCAAGUCGAUAAACAUCGCGUAAGAUAAAUAGAAUUGUGAAGUUGCGUGGAAGAAAAUAACCAAGUAGAUUGCGACCUCCAGCGAUAUAAACAAACGAUCGUCCAAUUAAGAUUGGAUGCUACGCCCGUCUUUAAUUCGAACUCCUAUUAAUACGAAACUGUUGUGUUGUGCAACAACGUGUUUGCUACGAAUCUGGCAAAAUUGAAACGUGCUCUCGGUGAAAACGAGAAAAACGCUUUCUGAAACGAGAAUAAAAAAAAAAAAAAA